rnacentral:rRNA from 1 species
AGGUUCGAUUCUGGCUCAGAACGAACGCUGGUGGCGUGUCUAUACAUGCAAGUCGAGCGAGGCAGCAAUGCCGAGCGGCGAACGGGUGAGUAACGCGUAAGCAAUCUGCCCCAUAUCAGGAAAUACCCGUGCCAACGCGCGGUUAAUGUCCAGGAGAGUGGCCCUCCGCAUGGAGGGUUGACUAGAGAUUUAUCGGUAUGGGAUGAGCUUGCGUCCGAUUAGCUAGUUGGCGGGGCAACGGCCCACCAAGGCGACGAUCGGUAGCCGGCCUGAGAGGGUGAUCGGCCACAUUGGGACUGAGAUACGGCCCAGACUCCUACGGGAGGCAGCAGUAGGGAAUAUUGCACAAUGGGGGAAACCCUGAUGCAGCAACGCCAACCGUGUGGGAAGAAGCAUUUCGGUGUGUAAACCACUGUCAUGAGGGAAUAAGGCCCGCCUUCGGACGGGAUUGAAUGUACCUUGAAAGGAAGCACCGGCAAACUUCGUGCCAGCCGCCGC